GAUGAACGCUGGCGGCGUGCCUAAUACAUGCAAGUCGAGCGAAUGGAUUAAGAGCUUGCUCUUAUGAAGUUAGCGGCGGACGGGUGAGUAACACGUGGGUAACCUGCCCAUAAGACUGGGAUAACUCCGGGAAACCGGGGCUAAUACCGGAUAACAUUUUGAACCGCAUGGUUCGAAAUUGAAAGGCGGCUUCGGCUGUCACUUAUGGAUGGACCCGCGUCGCAUUAACUAGUUGGUGAGGUAACGGCUCACCAAGGCAACGAUGCGUAGCCGACCUGAGAGGGUGAUCGGCCACACUGGGACUGAGACACGGCCCAGACUCCUACGGGAGGCAGCAGCAGGGAAUCUUCCGCAAUGGACGAAAGUCUGACGGAGCAACGCCGCGUGAGUGAUGAAGGCUUUCGGGUCGUAAAACUCUGUUGUUAGGGAAGAACAAGUGCUAGUUGAAUAAGCUGGCACCUUGACGGUACCUAACCAGAAAGCCACGGCUAACUACGUGCCAGCCGCCGCGGUAA
rnacentral:rRNA from 1 species